UGUUUCUUCACUGACCGGUUUACCUGGGUGUGCAUACGGAGGGUCCACAAAACCACGGUGAGAUGCCACCGCACACCCAUUGGGAUGGCUACCAUCAAAACACAACAGAAAAUUACAAGUGUCUGCAAGGAAGUGGAGAAGCCGGAGCCCUUGUGCACUGCUGACGGGAAUGUGAAUGGUGCAGUCGCUGUAGGAAAUGGUCGGUGAGUCCUCAGGUGGCAUGGUGAUCCCAUAGGCAGUUCACACGAGCAGGAGGUGGGACACUCAAGCAUCCAUCCACCGAUGAAUGGAGACACAGAAUGUUCCACAAAAUGGAACAUUACUCAGCCUUAAAAAGGAAGGAAGUUCUGAGACAUGCUACAACACAAAGGAACCAGGAGGACAUCAUGCUGCGUGAACGAAGCCGGUCCCAAGAGGACAAAUGCCGUAUGGUUCCACGUGCACAAGGUCCCUGGAGUACUCAAAUCCACAGAGGCAGAAAGUAGAGUGGGAGGUGCUGGGGCUGGGGGAGUGAGUGUUUAAUGGGUUCAGAGUUUCAGUUUGGGAAGAGGGAAAAGUUUGGAGGUGGAUGGUGGUGAUGGUUACACAGCAGUGUCAAUGAACUUAACGUCACCAAACUGUGUGCUUUCAGAUGGUUAAAAUAGUAAAUUUUAUGUUAUGUGUAUUUUACUGCAAUAAAAAAGUUAAGCCAGGUCCCAUAGUUCAGCAAGAACCAAAAGGGCCACAGGACCUCCCAGUAGCUCCCUGCCCCGUCCUUAGAAACCCGAGCUCCCUCUGGCACGGAGGGAGGCCUGGCACAAGAGGCUGGCAGUGGGGUGGGCCUUGGCAGCCCACCUGCAGCCUGGCCUGGGCUCCACAUCUGCGAGGACUACACCG
rnacentral:lncRNA from 1 species